AGCUCCAAUAGCGUAUAUUAAAGUUGUUGCAGUUAAAAAGCUCGUAGUUGGAUUUCGGAGCGGGCCAGUCGGUCCACCGAAAGGUGUGUUACUGACUGGUCUGUUCUUCUUCGCGAAGACUACGCGUGCUCUUCGUUGAGUGUGCGUAGGAUUUACGACGUUUACUUUGAAAAAAUUAGAGUGUUCAAAGCAGGCUGUCGCUUGAAUACAUGAGCAUGGAAUAAUGGAAUAGGACUUUGGUUCUAUUUUGUUGGUUUCUAGGACCGAAGUAAUGAUUAAGAGGGACAAUUGGGGGCAUCCGUAUUUUGUUGUCAGAGGUGAAAUUCUUGGAUUUACGAAAGACGAACAACUGCGAAAGCAUUUGCCAAGAGUGUUUUCAUUAAUCAAGAACGAAAGUAGG
rnacentral:rRNA from 1 species